UACGUAGGGGGCAAGCGUUGUCCGGAAUCAUUGGGCGUAAAGAGCGUGUAGGCGGCCCGAUAAGUCCGCUGUGAAAGUCCAGGGCUCAACCCUGGAAUGCCGGUGGAUACUGUCGGGCUCGAAUCCGGAAGAGGUGAGUGGAAUUCCUGGUGUAGCGGUGAAAUGCGCAGAUAUCAGGAGGAACACCAAUGGCGAAGGCAGCUCGCUGGGACGGUACUGACACUGAGACGCGAAAGCGUGGGGAGCAAACAGG
rnacentral:rRNA from 1 species